rnacentral:lncRNA from 1 species
AUGUUGAUUGUGGACUUGCAUCGUCUUUCAAUGAGUAUUCUUUAGAGCUUCAUUGUAAAACAACAAUCAUUAUGGUUGUCGAGAUUAGAAAACCAUCAAAUUUAUCAACUACAAUGUAGAACUUCAAUGCUUAGGAGCACUUUACAAACAGAAGAGAUGGUAUGAGAUUAUAACUUUUAAAACUUGUAAUUGGUUGAAGGUAAGGUGCUUUAUUUAUUUAGUUGGAUUUAUUCUUAGAUAAUUCAGCCAAGAAUACAUGAGAGGAAAAAAUGAGGUGGAAUGAAUUUUUUUCCUUGACGAAAUUAAAUUAUAUAUAUUUUUUCCCUCAAAUUUGCAAUAGGCCAACGGUACAAAGACAAAUUUUGCAAAAUUUUAAAAACCAAUGUAUACAAUUGCUAAAAACUCCUACAAAAAAUAAGUAAUAUUUCUUUUGUGUUAGUAAUUUAUUUAUUUUAUCAAUAUAUGAAUUAUUAUUUAAUAUUUUUCAUUUUAAAACAAACAUGAUUUUUUUUUGUGUUUUUAAUAUUUUUUAAUGUACUAUACUAUUUCCAAAGACUAAGACUUCUUAAUUUUUUAUUUGUUUAUUUUAUUAAUAAGUGGUAAAUAUUUCUAAGGAUUUUUUUAUUAUGACCUUUUGAAGGAGUUUUUAGACAUAUAGUCCUCUCGAUGACGAUUUAAUGAAGACAAAAAAAACAAAAAAACAAAACAAACAAAACAAACAAACAAACAAACAACAUACACA